rnacentral:piRNA from 1 species
GACUGUUGCCUUAAUCUGAGCCU